AUUGAACGCUGGCGGCAGGCCUAACACAUGCAAGUCGAGCGAGUGGGGGGCGGGAGAGUCAUGUCUGGGAAACUGCCUGAUGGAGGGGGAUACCUACUGGAAACGGUAGCUACUACCGCAUACCAUCAGAUGUGCCCAGAUGGGAUUAGCUUGUUGGUUGGGUAAAGGCUCACCAAGGCGACGAUCCGUAGCUGGUCUGAGAGGAUGACCAGCCACACUGGAACUGAGACACGGUCCAGACUCCUACGGGAGGCAGCAGUGGGGAAUAUUGCACAAUGGGCGAAAGCCUGAUGCAGCCAUGCCGCGUGUAUGAAGAAGGCCUUCGGGUUGUAAAGUACUUUCAGUGGGGAGGCGUUACCUGCAGAAGAAGCACCGGCUAACUCCGUGCCAGCAGCCGCGGUAAUUC
rnacentral:rRNA from 1 species